GUUCUCUUCUCAAUCGCUUGUCGAUUUCAAGUCUCUUCCUUCACAAGGAUGAUUCAGUUUCAGAGACUUGAGGGGGGUCUAUUGGGAUAUUUAAUCUUGUAUUUUAGUUAGCUUAAGUCUCCUUUAGCUUGAUGCUAACUAUAUAUAUAUUUGUAACAAUCACAUUUAUGAGUUGAUGAGAAUUCCUAAAUACAAAAUUGAUUC
rnacentral:lncRNA from 1 species